rnacentral:rRNA from 1 species
GAUGAACGCUGGCGGCGUGCCUAAUACAUGCAAGUCGAGCGAACGGACGAGAAGCUUGCUUCUCUGAUGUUAGCGGCGGACGGGUGAGUAACACGUGGAUAACCUACCUAUAAGACUGGGAUAACUUCGGGAAACCGGAGCUAAUACCGGAUAAUAUUUUGAACCGCAUGAUUCAAAAGUGAAAGACGGUCUUGCUGUCACUUAUAGAUGGAUCCGCGCUGCAUUAGCUAGUUGGUAAGGUAACGGCUUACCAAGGCAACGAUGCAUAGCCGACCUGAGAGGGUGAUCGGCCACACUGGAACUGAGACACGGUCCAGACUCCUACGGGAGGCAGCAGUAGGGAAUCUUCCGCAAUCGGCGAAAGCCUGACGGAGCAACGCCGCGUGAGUGAUGAAGGUCUUCGGAUCGUAAAACUCUGUUAUUAGGGAAGAACAUAUGUGUAAGUAACUGUGCACAUCUUGACGGUACCUAAUCAGAAAGCCACGGCUAACUACGUG